rnacentral:rRNA from 1 species
GGUUGGUUUCUAUCCUUAAUUAAUUAAAAUAUUUUAGUACGAAAGGAUUAAAUAUUUAAAAAAUUUUUUAAAAAUUUUUGAAUAAAAUUAAU